rnacentral:lncRNA from 1 species
CUUAUUCUUCCAUUGCCAUUAGGACCCGUUGAAGAUUUCAUUCUAUACGUUGACAUCGUCCACGCUGGUUCAGAGAACGAUACUAAACCGCUCAUUGGUUCGGCUCGGCUCAAGCUAGCUGACGUCAUCGAUUACGUUGGGAUCGGAGAGAGUCUAAGCAAGUCCCUUCAUUUGAAACGACCCUCUGGAAGACCGCAUGGCAAGGUUGAGGUUACGGUUGUCCUAAAAGAUAGAAGCUAUCAUGCUUCUGGAGAGUAUUAUACUCCUCCAUAUGGUGUUGUUCCGCCAGCAGUAGGAUACACCAAGAGGCCGCAGUACGAGGUUUCGUAUUUUUCUGCGGCCCCGCAGUCAGAGUAUCCAUAUGCUGCUGGUGAGUCAUAUGGAGGAGGGAGUUAUGAGGAGAAGAAGAGUGAGUUUGGAAGUAUGGGGACGGGAUUGGCUGUGGGAGCGUUGGCUGGUGUUGUAGGUGGAAUAGCAUUGG